rnacentral:rRNA from 1 species
CAGCAGCCGCGGUAAUACGAAGGGGGCUAGCGUUGCUCGGAAUUACUGGGCGUAAAGGGCGCGUAGGCGGCCAUUCAAGUUAGAUGUGAAAGCCCUGGGCUCAACCUAGGAAUUGCAUCUGAUACUGUUUGGCUUGAGUUCGGGAGAGGUGAGUGGAAUUCCCAGUGUAGAGGUGAAAUUCGUAGAUAUUGGGAAGAGCACCAGUGGCGAAGGCGGCUCACUGGACCGACACUGACGCUGAGGCGCGAAAGCGUGGGGAGCGAACAGGAUUAGAGACCCCCGUAGUCCCUGUCUCUUAUAC